rnacentral:ncRNA from 2 species
GGGACUGGGCGCAAUGGGUUGAGGGUGGUCAGUGUGGUGAGGGCGGGGUCGAGCGGCGAGGGGGAGGCUGGUUCCCCGGCGAGUCGGGCCCUGCCGUGGCCCCUGAGGAGGGGGCGGCGAUCGCGCGAUGCGGCUGCGACCACGACUGCGGCGCCCAGGGGAACCCGGUGUGCGGCUCCGACGGGGUGGUCUACGCCAGCGCCUGCCGCCUGCGGGAGGCCGCCUGCCGCCAGGCCGCGCCCCUGGAGCCCGCGCCUCC